GUGGGGAAUCUUGCGCAAUGGGCGAAAGCCUGACGCAGCGACGCCGCGUGAGUGAUGAAGGCCUUCGGGUUGUAAAGCUCUGUGGAGAGGGACGAAUAAGUCGUGGCCAAUAUCCACGGUGAUGACGGUACCUCUUUAGCAAGCACCGGCUAACUCUGUGCCAGCAGCCGCGGUAAGACAGAGGGUGCAAACGUUGUUCGGAAUUACUGGGCGUAAAGCGCGUGUAGGCUGCUCUGUAGGUCGGAUGUGAAAGCCCUGGGCUCAACCUAGGAAGUGCAUUCGAAACCACAAAGCUUGAGUCCUGGAGAGGAAGGCGGAAUUCUCGGUGUAGAGGUGAAAUUCGUAGAUAUCGAGAGGAACACCGGUGGCGAAGGCGGCCUUCUGGACAGUGACUGACGCUGAGACGCGAAAGCGUGGGGAGCAAACAGGAUUAGAUACCCUUGUAGUCC
rnacentral:rRNA from 1 species